AGCAUUAAGUCUUAAUUAAAUUUUGUGCUCUGGUGAAGUGUUCUUAAGAUCUGGGGACUAAAACAUUCUUUUAAAGAAGUUUACAGUUUUCUCUUGUAAAUAUUACUCUGCUCACAGACAACUUAUCAAGGAUCCUUUCUCAAGUAUUUUCCAGAAUAACUUCAGUACUAUCAGCAAUUUCUGCUGCUGCCCAGGAGAAGUCUUUGCUUUGAGAGAGUUACGAAAAAGCUCCCACAAUCUUGGUUUAAGAUGAAGUCUGCCUGCUUGUUUUUAUACCACGGUUGGGUUCAGUGCACUGCGCCUACCAGCUGGACUAACGGUUGUCAUCUGAUUGAACACCAAGACUGACCCGGUGAUCUUAAGCUCUCCAGUUUCUCUAGGACAGACCCUCCCUCGCCUGCUUCCAUGAAGAGGUGCACGGUUUCACCCCAUAGGACUGCGCCAUAUAACUCGGCGAUGUUCUCAUGCCGGAAGCAAGCCUGGAUUUCCACAUCGGAUGGCUUAAAUUGAUCUACUGGGAUCUAGGACACAGAAACACCAUGUACAGAGACUAUAUUUAGAGCUGCAGCAAGACAGAGAAAGCAUGUAACAGAAACACAUCCCUGGUCGGACCUGAUCGUAUUUCCACCUACUGGUGAAGAGAGAGAGAGAGAGAGACACGGAAUCCAAAGCAGGCUCCAGGCGCCGAGCUGUCAGCACAGAGCCUGACAGGGGGCUCGAACUCACGGACCGUGAGAUCAUGACCCGAGCUGAAGUUGGACGCCCAACCGACUGAGCCACCCAGGUGCCCCUGUUGGGUGCUAAUUAUAAACCAGGCACUGUGCUGCGGCCUUAUCAAAGGCUCACAACGAUCCUGUGAGGGUCCCUGCAAGAUAAUCUUCUGGAAGUCCACACUGCUCAUCUCUUGCCAGUUCUUCAGCUUACCAAAGCCACCAUUAAGCGCAGACAUAUAAGCACGCUUUGGAUAUCCUUCUCCAGAUCAGUGACGCUCAACAAUACUGGGCCCAGCAGCAGGACUUGAGAAAAACUCUUAGGUAUUUUAAGAAGAAUAAACUCCGUAGGGAGCCUGUGUUUAUGGCUGCUACAACACGAAUACAACUUAGAAGAGGCAUAUGAUGGGGAACACAGGCAAAGCCGGCUCUUUUCCACCCUGCUGAUCACACAACAAAGGGACUGCCACUCAGGUUCUGGGCUGUAAGACAGGCACUGACCCAGGCUGGAGUUCAGAAGGUGCUGCCCAGGUGACAACGACAGUUAAUGAUCCAGUGAGUGACAAGUAGCACAAUGAGAGGUGUUUGGGACGGAGGAGAGAAGAUGUGGGGAACAUUAAAGUUUCAAAAUACUGGAAAGACUGGGGCGCCUGGGUGAUUCAGUCGGUUAAGCAACCGACUUUGGCUCAGGUCGUGAUCUCACAGUUCGUGAGCUCGAGCCCCAUGUCAGGCUCUGCGCCACGGAGCCUGGAGCCUGCUUCGGAUUCUGUGUCUUCCUCUCCCUCUCUGCCCCUCCCCGGCUCAUGUUCCGUCUCUCUCUCUCUC